rnacentral:lncRNA from 13 species
CUCGAUGAGGUUUCCCGUGCAUACUCAGGCGCUGGCAUCUCUGCAUAGCCCCUAAGUCUCUCCACCAAAGAUUCACCCACUUGCCUUCGAGCACGGACUUGUCGAAUGUUCUUCACUGAAGAUUAUUUGACCAGAUUAACCUUCAGUGGCAGACAGUAAAAAAGACCUUCAAUGACCAGCUGUGAGACU